rnacentral:rRNA from 1 species
UACAGAGGUCUCAAGCGUUGUUCGGAAUCACUGGGCGUAAAGGGUGACGUAGGCCGCACGGUAAGUCAGAGGUGAAAUCCCGGAGCUCAACUUCGGAAUUGCCUCCGAUACUGCCGUGCUUGAGGACUGGAGAGGAGAUUGGAAUUCACAGUGGAGCAGUGAAAUGCGUAGAUAUUGUGAGGAACACUAGUGGCGAAGGCGAAUCUCUGGACAGUUCCUGACGCUGAGGCACGAAGGCCAGGGGAGCAAACGGG